rnacentral:tRNA from 1 species
GCCGGGGUGGCGGAACUGGCAGACGCGCCAUCUUGAGGGGGUGGUGAGCGCAAGCUCGUAGGAGUUCAAGUCUCCUCCUCGGCACCA